AAUGCCACUCUGUGUUCUGGGAAAACACGGAGAAGGCGGGAGAUGGAUAUUCAAGACGAUGAGCAAAACGAGAACUAGGUGAAAGCAAGAGCCAACGUUUCGACAAGUGGACUUAGACAAGACCAUUUGUCAAAACGUUGGCUCCUGCGUUCAUCUCGUUCUCGGUUUGCUAAUCGCCUUUAUUUCAGAGAAAAUUCAUAUCUAUCACAAAUGAGAAUAAAUGCAAGGCGACACUACUGAUUAAAAAAACGCAAUUGUCAAUUUAAUUUUUUCUCCGAUACAAGCACAAGAAAGUCUUGACGUGACAUGCAAACGCGUCAGGCGGAUGGAUACAUCACAACAGAAAUAGCUCCACCUUCAUGUAGCAGAUCAAGCUCGUAGCCCACGCUACAAGUAACAAAGGCUUCAUUUCAUUCACGCAAGAUAUAUACAUCAAGAGAAAGAAAUGCAUAUGUCAUAACACUUCAAGCACACAAACACAGUGCAAAUGCAAGGAAAACGGAUCGCUCCGGCGUCGCGUGCAUAUUAAUGUUGCCGGAGUGUACCGGGAUAAGGCCGUCCGUAUUCCUAGCCAAUCACUUUCGAAGGCAGUGCCAUAAAUUUCCCCCUUCAAUUCAUAAGGCAAAUGCAGGCCGGAAAGUUAAGUUGUGAUGUAGCCC
rnacentral:lncRNA from 1 species